GAUAUAAACAAAUUGACUAAAUUGGGGUUAAAACCAGAGAUCCCGAGAGUGAAGUCCCGAGUUUUCCCAAAAGCUCAUCUCAUCUCUAACUAACACACAUGACCAACAGCCUCCAAACAAUCCCAUUGUCUGCAUUUCAGGCAUACGAGUCAGCGCUGCUUAAAUACUUAAGACAACUGUUGUUCACUGACCCACCGUGUGACAGCUGCUGUUCGCGGCGAGAGUAUUUGACAGAGUAAACUUGUCAGAAUUAACUUUACAUUGAUGUGACAAAGUAAAAAGGCGAGGAUGUGGAAAAACAACUGCAAAUACAUACGCACUAUAAAAGUUCGCACAACAACACUACCACUACAACAACAACAACUACUUCCACUACAGACAGUUAGACGCACUUUUUUCAGACACAACAACCGCCGAUUCCAGCGGGUGCUAUUGACACCGGCAUUGAUAUGCGCUACGCGUCGCUAUGUGGCCAAGUGAUAAACAGAUGUACAUCCAGUUGCAGCUGUUGUCGCUGAUAUUUAGUUAGUUGCACGUUUCCGUGAAUAAAUCCUACUUGAGGUUGAUAUAAACACCAAUAAGGUUGCGGUUAAUUAGUUAACAGCAAGCAAGAAAUGGAGAAGAGUCAUAGUCGCUUUCCGGAUUUGGUGCACUGCUGGUGUUCUCAGCGCAUAUUAAUUGAGUAAACAUAAAUGUUGUUUAAAAUUUAAAUGAGUUUCGAACUUUUUGGGAUCUGUUACUAACUUAACCGAGUUUUUAUGAAGAAUCUCGAAGAUAGAAAAUUAUCAGAGGUUGCUUCUGAACAAAGAAAGCAAGGAGUUUACUCUGAGGUUAUUACAAAUCGUUCUUAACAUUUUUUUAUGAACUUGUGAAACAGUUAUGAGUUUUAGUGGACAACCAAGUCUAAAGGCGGUUUUCUUUAAUUUAAUUGCUGUUUUUAACUGUAUUUUUUAUAUUUUUGGAUCUAUUACUAAAUCAACGAGUUUGUAAAUAUAAAGAAUGGAGAGGAAAGAAAUUAUUAGAGGCUACGUCUGAACAAAGAAAGUAAGGACAGAGUAAUUAGAAAUCGUUCUUAAAAUUUUUUAUGAACUUGUGGAACUAGACAACCAAGUCUAAAGGUGAGUACACGCCUCUCUCCAUUCCUCUCCAUUCUUUAUAUUUACAAACUCAUUGAUUUAGGAAUAGAAUCAAUUCAAAGAUAUGUCAAACUUUAAGGCUUUGAAAUAUUAUUUUUCAUCCCAUCUGUCGUCGUUUUUGAAAAUGAGUACAGGUAGAUUUCAUAUUUAUCAAACUUCGGACAUUUUCAGAUCUAUCUUUACCUAAGAUAUGAAUGAUAAGAACCUUUCGUUUUACAACUACAAUACUAUGUAAGAGAAUACUAUGUACAACUGAGAGACGAGUUCUGAUUGAUUCUGAUUCUGAAGCUAUUAAAAACGAUUUUAUAACAAAGGUGCUGAAACUCUGAUCUUAUAAAUCAAGAUUAGCAAUCCAUUGAGUAACUCAGAAGAGGUACGACCUAUUGGUAGAUAAACAUGUGAAGAGAAUGUAAGCUAAAAUCUUAAAGAAAAAGAUAUCCUACAUAACCUAUAUAUAGAUCUAAGCUUUGUAAGAAAAUGAAAGAGACAUCCUACAGACCCUUUAUAUAGAUUUAAGCUUGGUAGUAAGUGCGAAUCCCAGUUGCAUUGUUUAAAUCAAGUUUGCGUAGAAUAAAUUAGACUAAACAAUUCCUAUAGGUAGUAGGGAACUUCAUCCGAAGAAUCAGUAGUAAAUAAUUAUAUAUCAACAUAUUUCUAACCUCACUUUCAGACUCAAAUAUAAUCUUCAACAAUUUUUUGUAAAGGUUUGCCCAGAGAGUGCAUUUACUGGGCGUUGCAAACACAGCUACUGAGAAAAGAUUGACAUAAAUAUCACCACGAACCAACUAAAUUACAAUAAGACUACACAAAUAGCUGAAUAUAUUUAGCAAACCGCAAAAAAACUUAAAUGAAAUCACAUUAGUUCGCUGUGCUUAUGAAUGAGAGAGAUCAUUUGGAUUUCUACCCGUAAUUAGGCACGUUUUGCAAAUUGAAGAUCGCGACAAUAAACUAUGCUAACAAGUUUAACACUCCCCAAUAAGCCAAUAAAUGCCAAUUAAAAAUCACAACCGUACAAAAAACAACAGCCAACAAAACGUCACGUCUACCAAUAUAACAACAAAAACAAAGUUUUAAGUUUAUUUACAACAAAUAGAAGCAAGUUUUUAGAGCGCUUUGUGGCGCAUUGAAUGCAAAAGUCAUGUCAAUUGAGCAGCUGCGCAGCGGCAACAAGGCGCGACAUUUACAUAUUUAAGCCGUACAAUAAUUAAACAAAUAAUUAAAUAUGGUUGAGGCGACAACAAAUAUUAAAAACACCAACUAGUGGCAUUUUGAGUUGUCGUGAAAAGCAAUUAACGCGCAGCCACUUGGUGCACAGACAGGGAGAGAGGCAUUGUAGAGAGGAGGGGGAAAAUACAAAAUAAAUAUAUUUAAACGAGUUAGUUGGUAGCGAUUUGUGUAAAUAUUAGUAGUAACUGUCUAAACAUGUAAAUUCGCUUAUGUCGAGCGCUAGGCACUUACUGCAUAAAUAAUAGUAUGAGCUGUACAUUGUUGUUGACUAUUAUAGUUAAUGUACAUAAAUCACUUGAAAGUACGUGGAGAUAAGUUGGUAAAUAUAUUACAUCCCUGUUUGCUUUAAUAAUUAUCAAAUACAACUCUGUAUACUAAACCAAAAUUUUCAAAAAUGGAAAUAAACUAUUUUUGUUUAGAAAAAAUAUCAAAAGUAAUAAAUUAGAUACAAAA